AUACGUAGGUGACAAGCGUUAUCCGGAUUUACUGGGCGUAAAGGGCGUGUAGGCGGUCUUGCAAGCCAGAAGUGAAAUUCCUGAGCUCAACUCGGGCGCUGCUUCUGAAACUGCAGGACUUGAGUGCUGGAGGGGAUAGCGGAAUUCCUAGUGGAGCGGUAAAAUGCGCAGAUAUUAGGAAGAACACCGGUGGCGAGGGGGACAAUGAGACAAUGAACUCCGGCUGAGGCGCGAAAGCGUGGGAGGAAAAUAGGCGUAUCUGCCGGGUUAUGCAACGCCGUAAACGAUGAAUCCUAGGUGUAGGAGGUAUCGACUCCCUCUGUGCCGCAGUUAACACAAUAAGUAUUCCGCCUGGGGAGUACGGCCGCAAGGUUGAAACUCAAAGGAAUUGGCGGGG
rnacentral:rRNA from 1 species